rnacentral:rRNA from 1 species
GAUGAACGCUGGCGGCGUGCCUAAUACAUGCAAGUCGAGCGAACAGACGAGGAGCUUGCUCCUCUGACGUUAGCGGCGGACGGGUGAGUAAAACGUGGAUAACCUACCUAUAAGACUGGGAUAACUUCGGGAAACCGGAGCUAAUACCGGAUAAAAUAUUGAACCGCAUGGUUCAAUAGUGAAAGACGGUUUUGCUGUCACUUAUAGAUGGAUCCGCGCCGCAUUAGCUAGUUGGUAAGGUAACGGCUUACCAAGGCGACGAUGCGUAGCCGACCUGAGAGGGUGAUCGGCCACACUGGAACUGAGACACGGUCCAGACUCCUACGGGAGGCAGCAGUAGGGAAUCUUCCGCAAAGGGCGAAAGCCUGACGGAGCAACGCCGCGUGAGUGAUGAAGGUCUUCGGAUCGUAAAACUCUGUUAUUAGGGAAGAACAAAUGUGUAAGUAACUAUGCACGUCUUGACGGUACCUAAUCAGAAAGCCACGGCUAACUACGUG